CAAAUGGCCCUUUUUAGGGCCACAGUUUUUCAUGACGUUGGACU
rfam:Cerapachys biroi unplaced genomic scaffold C1743420, whole genome shotgun sequence.